rnacentral:rRNA from 1 species
GGCCUAACACAUGCAAGUCGAGCGCUCCGCAAGGAGAGCGGCGGACGGGUGAGUAACGCGUGGGAACGUACCCUCUUCUACGGAAUAGCCUCGGGAAACUGGGGGUAAUACCGUAUACGCCCUUUGGGGGAAAGAUUUAUCGGAGGAGGAUCGGCCCGCGUUGGAUUAGGUAGUUGGUGGGGUAAUGGCCUACCAAGCCGACGAUCCAUAGCUGGUUUGAGAGGAUGAUCAGCCACACUGGGACUGAGACACGGCCCAGACUCCUACGGGAGGCAGCAGUGGGGAAUCUUAGACAAUGGGCGCAAGCCUGAUCUAGCCAUGCCGCGUGAGCGAUGAAGGCCUUAGGGUUGUAAAGCUC